GACGAACGCUGGCGGCGUGCUUAACACAUGCAAGUCGAACGAAGUGGCGAACGGGUGAGUAAUACGUGGGUACACUGCGCUCAUUUUUGGGAUAAGCCGUGGAAACGGGGUCUAAUACCGAAGAACGGGGGAGUGGCACGCGGCCUGUCAGCUUGGUGGUGGGGUGAUGGCCUACCAAGGCGGGGACGGGUAGGCGGCCUGAUAGGGUGAACGGCAACAUUGGGACUGUGAUGCGGCCCAGGCUCUUACGGGAGGCGGCAGUGGGGGAUAUUGCACAAUGGGUGAAAGCGUUAUGCAGCGACGCCGAGUGGGGGAUGAAGGCUUUAGGGUUGUAAACCUCUUUCGCUAGCGAACGGGUAGGUGGAGAAGAAGCGCCGGCUAACUACGUGCCAGCAGCCGCGGUAAUAC
rnacentral:rRNA from 1 species